rnacentral:rRNA from 1 species
AGAGUUUGAUCAUGGCUCAGGAUGAACGCUGGCGGCGUGCUUAACACAUGCAAGUCGAACGAGAGAAGAUCGGUGCUUGCACUGAUCCGAUCGAGUGGCGGACGGGUGAGUAACGCGUGGGUAACCUGCCUCAUACAGGGGAAUAACAGUUGGAAACGGCUGCUAAAACCGCAUAAGCGCACAGUAUCGCAUGAUACAGUGUGAAAAACUCCGGUGGUAUGAGAUGGACCCGCGUCUGAUUAGCUAGUUGGUGAGGUAACGGCCACAAGGCAACGAUCAGUAGCCGGCCUGAGAGGGUGAUCGGCCACAUUGGAACUGAGACACGGUCCAAACUCCUACGGGAGCA